rnacentral:lncRNA from 1 species
UGGAAGAGUAGUUUUAAACUGUCCUGGAAUGUAUUUGAAUACUCCAGUACACAUGAAGGUCCAUGUCCAAUCUGCAUAUUAAUUUUUAUUCACCCGUUCUAGCAAUAAGGACAAUAUGCUUAUUUUUGAUGCCAAAGGCUAUUAUGAAGCAUAAGAUAUGGUCCAAAAAUCACAGCAGUUUCAUACAAGUGACUCAAUUUUGAAGGAAUAAUUGAGAGAGAAAGCUACAUUUCUUCCAAAAAUGCCAGGCCCAGUGGUUCUUUUCAGCCCUGUGUACAGAGACGGGUUCAGACAAUGGUCUCACUUCUAAGCUGUAUGUAUUCUUGCCUUUUCCAGGACUCUGCUUUGGUUUGCUGCUCAUGGCGAGGAGUUCUGCAAAGCACAGAUGUGGCUGGCAAAGUGGGGAACAAAGCUUGGGUAGAGGAGAUAACACAGCAGCCUUUCAGUUGUCCUGAAGGAACCAGUUAUGGCCUGACUGUGUGUCAGUGGGGUGCCUGCUGUAGUCUGCCUGGCACUGCAGUGCAGCUCAACGGCUUCCUGCUUGAGGGACAACUCAGUAUGCUGUUUUCUGAAACCCAGGAAAAAGCUUUGGUGUUACCCUGGACUUUUCUGGAAGGUGUAUUUCUUUGGUAG